rnacentral:rRNA from 1 species
GGCGCAUACAAAGAGAAGCGACCUCGCGAGAGCAAGCGGACCUCAUAAAGUGCGUCGUAGUCCGGAUUGGAGUCUGCAACUCGACUCCAUGAAGUCGGAAUCGCUAGUAAUCGUGGAUCAGAAUGCCACGGUGAAUACGUUCCCGGGCCUUGUACACACCGCCCGUCACACCAUGGGAGUGGGUUGCAAAAGAAGUAGGUAGCUUAACCUUCGGGAGGGCGCUUACCACUUUGUGAUUCAUGACUGGGGUGAAGUCGUAACAAGGUAACCGUAGGGGAACCUGC